GACGAACGCUGGCGGCGUGCUUAACACAUGCAAGUCGAACGGAAAGGCCCUGCUUUUGUGGGGUGCUCGAGUGGCGAACGGGUGAGUAACACGUGAGUAACCUGCCCUUGACUUUGGGAUAACUUCAGGAAACUGGGGCUAAUACCGGAUAGGAGCUCCUGCUGCAUGGUGGGGGUUGGAAAGUUUCGGCGGUUGGGGAUGGACUCGCGGCUUAUCAGCUUGUUGGUGGGGUAGUGGCUUACCAAGGCUUUGACGGGUAGCCGGCCUGAGAGGGUUACCGGCCACAUUGGGACUGAGAUACGGCCCAGACUCCUACGGGAGGCAGCAGUGGGGAAUAUUGCACAAUGGGCGGAAGCCUGAUGCAGCAACGCCGCGUGCGGGAUGACGGCCUUCGGGUUGUAAACCGCUUUCGCCCGUGACGAAGCGUGAGUGACGGUAAUGGGUAAAGAAGCACCGGCUAACUACGUG
rnacentral:rRNA from 1 species